GGAGAGGACUCUUUGCCUCAGACCCGGACAAUCGACACUCCCGCCCGCCAUACAAACUAUUGGGACUUCCCAGGCUGAUUGUGGUGUGCAUGUUGCCCCACCCACGGCUGCCAUUGGCUAAAGGAGAGCCUUGCUGACCAAACAAAGCUGAAGGGUGUGGCCCCUCGCUGUCCUGGAGAGGGGUAUAUAUAGGCAGGUCAGCCUGCCUGGGGUAGACAGACCACUGGGAGGCACUGACAUGCCGAAGGCGACCGGGAAAUCCCAAGCUUCUAGCACAGUCGCGGAACAAACCGUCGCCAAAGAACAAAGAGAGGAAGAUGAGGAAGUCCUCAAGUCAACCCAGGUCCGGAGGCAGUGUCAAGGCGGCCAAGAAAACCACGGGGGCCGAAAGACCCCUUCGAAGGAGAUCCACUAAAAAAGCCUCUAGAAAACGUCCCACCUCUUCAGUCAAAUCUAAGGAAGCGAGAGGAACAACCCUAUUCGGUCACUAUCACAGGCUGAAUGAAGAGCUGAAUCAAGAUGAGCCAGAGGAGGACGGAGAGAGCAUGGAGAAGCCCAGCACUUCACGUGCCUACCUGCACCGCCGGUAACUUCAGAGCGAGGCCACAGACCUCAGAGAGGAAUCAUCUGAGAAGUCUCUGAGAUCUGGCCCCUGAGAAAUGGGCAACGGUGUUGACGUCAUUUGACAGCAGCAGGGUGCCCUGAUGGUGAUUUAAAUAAAACGGACCUGUUGUGAAAA
rnacentral:lncRNA from 1 species